rnacentral:misc_RNA from 1 species
AGAAUGGGACAUUUGGUUUUGGGUUUCUUCGGGACAACUAUGUUAUUGACCUAAAGCAUAUUGCCCAAGAUGGUUGUCUCCUUGAUACAAUGGAGGGUUUCUGUGAUUGAUAGUCGAUUGAUAUCCUUGCAUGGGAUCUUCUGUGUACAAAUAGAGUUGUAGCUCAAUGCCAUAAUUUCCAUGGCAUUGUGUACUACAAUUGUUGUAGAAAUAAUAAUGUUAAUAUGCCGUAAUUUUCCAUGCCAGGAUAUCAAUCGACUAUCAAUCACAGAA